rnacentral:rRNA from 1 species
UAGCUAGUUGGUAGGGUAAAGGCCUACCAAGGCAUUGAUCGGUAGCUGGUCUGAGAGGAUGAUCAGCCACACUGGGACUGAGACACGGCCCAGACUCUUACGGGAGGCAGCAGUGGGGAAUAUUGGACAAUGGGGGCAACCCUGAUCCAGCAAUGCCGCGUGUGUGAAGAAGGCCUGCGGGUUGUAAAGCACUUUCAGUGGGGAGGAAAGUUGAGGUGUUAAAAGCAUUUUAGUAUGACGUUACCCACAGAAGCAGCACCGGCUAACUCCGUGCCAGCAGCCGCGGUAAUACGGGGGGUGCAAGCGUUAAUCGGAAUUACUGGGCGUAAAGGGUGCGUAGGUUGUUAAUUAAGUUAUCUGUGAAAUACCUGGGCUCAACCUGGGCAGGUCAGAUAAGACUGAUUGACUCGAGUAUGGGAGAGGGUAGUGGAAUUUCCGGUGUAGCGGUGAAAUGCGUAGAGAUCGGAAGGAACACCGGUGGCGAAGGCGGCUACCUGGCCUAAUACUGACACUGAGGCACGAAAGCGUGGGGAGCAAACAGGAUUAGAUACCCUGGUAGUCCACGCUGUAAACGAUGUCAACUAGCUGUUGGUCAUAUUAAAAUGAUUAGUGGCGC